rnacentral:rRNA from 1 species
UACGAAGGGGGCUAGCGUUGCUCGGAAUUACUGGGCGUAAAGGAUGCGUAGGCGGACAUUUAAGUCAGAUGUGAAAUACCCGAGCUUAACUUGGGUGCUGCAUUUGAAACUGGGUGUCUAGAGUGCAGGAGAGGUAAGUGGAAUUCCUAGUGUAGCGGUGAAAUGCGUAGAGAUUAGGAAGAACACCAGUGGCGAAGGCGACUUACUGGACUGUAACUGACGCUGAGGCAUGAAAGCGUGGGGAGCAAACAGG